rnacentral:rRNA from 1 species
UACGGGGGGGCAAGCGUUGUUCGGAAUUACUGGGCGUAAAGGGCGCGUAGGCGGCCUGCUAAGUCGGAUGUGAAAUCCCUCGGCUCAACCGAGGAACUGCAUCCGAUACUGGCGGGCUUGAAUCCGGGAGAGGGAUGUGGAAUUCCAGGUGUAGCGGUGAAAUGCGUAGAUAUCUGGAGGAACACCGGUGGCGAAGGCGGCAUCCUGGACCGGUAUUGACGCUGAGGCGCGGAAAGCUAGGGGAGCAAACGGGG